UUAGUGGCGGACGGGUGAGUAACGCGUGGGGAACCUGUCUUGCACCGGGGGAUAACACUUAGAAAUAGGUGCUAAUACCGCAUAAGCGCACAGAGCCGCAUGGCUCGGUGUGAAAAACUCCGGUGGUGCAAGAUGGACCCGCGUCUGAUUAGCUGGUUGGCGGGGUAACGGCCCACCAAGGCGACGAUCNGUAGCCGGCCUGAGAGGGUGAACGGCCACAUUGGGACUGAGACACGGCCCAAACUCCUACGGGAGGCAGCAG
rnacentral:rRNA from 1 species